rnacentral:tRNA from 1 species
GAACUGGUAGCUUAGCUGGCUAAAGCAUCUGACUUUUAAUCAGAAGACCGUGGGUUCGAAUCCCACUCGGUUCA